CUGAGGUUCUGGUGUCUCCAGGUGGGAGUUCCAUGGGAGGGUUGGAUUUGGGGCCGGUUCUGAGAUUUUGGAGAGCAAGUCUUGGGUGCUACACUGGGUUUUGAAGGACCUGGAUGAGUUUCUGGAGGUCUGGAUGGGUUCCUGGAGGUCUGGAUGAGUUCCUGGAGGUCUGGAUGAGUUCCUGGAGGUCUGGAUGGGUUUUUGGAGGUCUGGAUGAGUUUCUGGAGGUCUGGAUGGGUUCCUGGAGGUCUGGAUGAGUUCCUGGAGGUGUGGAUGAGUUCCUGGAGGUGUGGAUGGGUUCCUGGAGGUGUGGAUGGGUUCCUGGAGGUCUGGAUGGGUUCCUGGAGGUGUGGAUGGGUUCCUGGAGGUCUGGAUGGGUUCCUGGAGAUCUGGAGACCGCAGG